UACGUAGGGUGCAAGCGUUGUCCGGAUUUAUUGGGCGUAAAGCGCUCGCAGGUGGUUCGUUGCGUCGUGCGUGAAAGACCCCGGCUCAACUGGGGAGGGUCGUGCGAUACGGGCGGACUGGAGGCCAGUAGGGGGAUGCGGAAUUCCGGGUGUAGUGGUGGAAUGCGUAGAGAUCCGGAGGAACACCAGCGGCGAAGGCGGCAUCCUGGACUGGUCCUGACACUCAGGAGCGAAAGCGUGGGGAGCGAUCCGG
rnacentral:rRNA from 1 species